AAUAAUUUUUAUUGAUGAACUUACCUGCUAAUUUAAAUUAAUGAUAUUAUUUUCUCUUAUUCUCUAUUUUUAUCAUUGAUUUGGAAAUGUAAUAAAUUUCACUAAAAUUCAUAGUAACUAAUUCACUUGUUUUAGAGAAGUCAACACUAUAAUUCAUAGUAACUUCAUGUGUUUCAGAGACUUUAAUUAAAUCUAUUAAACUACUUUCCAAUUAAAAUUACAUUAAAUAACACUAAACUUCUCAAACCAUUAGACCAAGAAAGAAAAACUUCUCAAAGCAAUACACAUUCCUAAAUCGUUUUAUCUCUCUCGCUCGCUAAUUCUUCUCUUUUAUUGCCGUUUAUAAUGUCCGCCGUCGCAGAUUCCGUUAAGAACGGACCAUUAAACUUACCCGAGAAUGAAAAUCUCAGACCUUCGGGAGUCAGCGCCACCGCAUUCCCUAACGAAAACUCUGGCGCUGCGGAGAGAUGGCCAGGUUUUCCUGGUGAUUGCGUGUUUCGUGUGAUCAUUCCGGGGCAUAAGGUCGGAGCUAUUACCGGACGUCAAGGAGAAUUCAUUAGAAAGUUGUGGCAGGAGACUCGUGCUCGCAUACAAGUCCUCGAUGGCCCCGUUAAGACUCCUUAUCGCCUCGUGAGUAUCCUCUCUCUCUAUUUACUAUGUGCAAACAUAACGGGUCUCAAUUAGGCAUAUAGCAAAAUAAAACAUUUGUCUAUGGUCCUCAAAAUAUUAAUGUUUAAUACCUAUAAAUUAAUUUUAAAAUACAUGUAUUGAUCAUUUAAUAAUUGUUUCAAAUUCCAUAAAUUUUAUGUAUGCAAAGAAAUCGGAAUUGAGAUUGUUUUCUUUUUCUGUUUCUAUGCUUUCUCUUAGGGUUGUAACUUCGAUUCCUAGGGUUUUGAUCAUUGUCUUGACAUUCAGUUCUUGGCGGGAAAAUUACAAAACUUUUGGUUUCGAAACAUCGUACGCAAUGUCAAGGAUAUCUCUUUUAUGUUAUGUGUAGGUGAUAAUAUCUGGAAAGGAAAAACCAGAAGCCAAAAUGUCCCCUGCAAUGGACGCAGUCGUCCGGGUGUUCAGGCGAGUUUCAAGCUUGCCUGAUAACGAUGAUGAUGUUCAAAACGCUGGAAGUGCGUUCUCUUCAAUGCGCUUGUUAGUCCCGGGGAUGCAGGCGAGCUCUUUGAUUGGAAAGCAAGGAUCUAUAAUCAGAUCAAUAGUACAGAACUCUGGUGCAUCAGUUCGCAUUUUAUCACAAGGUAAUUAGCAUCAUCAUACGCAUUUUCAUAUGGAACUCUUUUGUUGGUAUUUGAAGUUGUGUGAUUUAUACUUCACAUGAGGCUAUUAGAUAAUGAUACGUUUUUUUUUCGCUAGAUGCAACGCCGUGUUAUGCUGCAAAAGAUGAAAGGAUAGUUGCUUUCCAUGGGGAAGCUUUGAAGAUUGUAAAAGCGUUAGAAGCGGUUGUUGGACACCUAAGGAAAUAUUUAGUUGACCAUUUUGUGAUUCCUUUCUUUGAGGAAGAAGUAAGCUUUAUUGUCUGAAACUAUCCUAGUUCCUUGCUUGUCACGUUUCUCAUUUUUUUUCUAUGAAUUAUCUUUAUUUUUUUAUCUUUAGUAUCUAGCUAGAGUCUUUCAAGAAGAUGGAGCAUUAGCUGACAAGAAUCCAUCUCUCCAUGCUGAACCCUCAAAUGUAACCGAUUAUGAUUCCUGGCUCUUGGCAAGGAGAGAAGCUCUCGUUCUGGAGGGCAAGAAUCGAGUGGAGUCACGUGUUCAGCCUUCAGGAGUUUUAUUUACACAGGAAGAUCCCAUUUUUAGUGCUAUCGAGGUAUGUCAAACAGUUCGAGCUCCAAUCUGCUAUUCCGAUGAUAUUAUUGGUGCACAAGGAGCUAAUAUAAAUUACAUUCGUUGGAGAAGCGGAGCUAUCCUAAUCGUUGAAGAGAGUCUAAAUCCUGGUGAAAUGAUAUUGGUAAUCAAAGGCACAUUUUCUCAAGUAGAAAUUGCUUAUCAACUAAUUCAAGUAAGAACACACAUUCUUCCAUUUAUUUAUACAUUUUUUUUGUGAAAUAGUAUCGUUAAAUUGCUAAGAUUACACUUUAUUAAUUUACAUACUUUUUUUGUUAUUGUUUACGUGUGUGUAGGAGUUAGUCAGCACGCAGAAGUAUCCAGUUUCGGUUUCAGGGGGAAAUGCCAGGAUCGACACUGGCAACGUACCUGUACACCCUCCUCAGCUGAGCAGCCGUCAAGAGCCGCUCUCGAGCAGCUACAUGGGCACAGAGACGGAGCCAAACGCGUGCUCUCAGGUCACGGGUCCUUCCCCCAGCCGUCACUGACUGGGCAAACUUAGGAGCGGAAUAUAGACCAGUUUGUGUAUUGUUCUCAAGGUCUAAUUCAUUUCUAGAUCAAUUUAUGUUUAUAGUCGGGCAGCUCAUUUAUACUAAAGAGGGAAAGAACAAGUGCUAGAAACCAAUGUAUUGAAUGUGUGAUAUAAAUCUAAGUGCCUUUUGUUUUUCCCUUUCAAAUCUCGAUAUGUUCACUGACAGUGUCAAAUAAGAACAGUUUCAUGUUUUUUU